AUUGUUCACUCUCAAAUCUCAAGUUCAUUGCCAUUUUUAGGUCUCUCUAUAAAUUCAAAUGUUCUGUUCAAUUCAAUGCGUCGCCAGACAUCUGUUCCCUUUGCAUAUCUCUGAAGUUGGACUAAUUGUGAAUGAAAGAGUUGGGACAAGAG
rnacentral:misc_RNA from 1 species